CCCUCUAGAGAAAGCACUUUCUG
rnacentral:miRNA from 8 species